GACGAACGCUGGCGGCGUGCUUAACACAUGCAAGUCGAACGGAAAGGCCCUGCUUUUGUGGGGUGCUCGAGUGGCGAACGGGUGAGUAACACGUGAGUAACCUGCCCUUGACUUUGGGAUAACUUCAGGAAACUGGGGCUAAUACCGGAUAGGAGCUCCUGCUGCAUGGUGGGGGUUUGAAAGUUUCGUCGGUUUAGGAUGGACUCGCGGCUUAUCAGCUUGUUGGUGGGGUAGUGGCUUACCAAGGCUUUGACGGGUAGCCGGCCUGAGAGGGUGACCGGCCACAUUGGGACUGAGAUCCGGCCCAGACUCCUACGGGAGGAAGCAGUGGGGAAUAUUGCAAAAUGGGCGGAAGCCUGAUGCAGCAACGCCGCGUGCGGGAUGACGGCCUUCGGGUUGUAAACCGCUUUCGCCUGUGACGAAGCGUGAGUGACGGAAAUGGGUAAAGAAGCACCGGCUAACUACGUG
rnacentral:rRNA from 1 species